rnacentral:lncRNA from 1 species
GCGCCUGGCGCCCGGGAAGAGGUGGUUGUGAGGCAGACGAACUCGCGGCUCUCCGGCUUCCGAGGCUUCCGAGUUGUCGGAGGAAGGGGGCGGCGAGCAAUAAGAACCCGCCGCACCCGGUCCUCAGCGACUCUUCUGACCUCCGCGCGACGUACCCGCCGCCGCCGUUGGCUGGAGCAUUUGACAUUGUGCAGCAAAGAAAUGGUUAUGGAGAAGCCCAGUCCGCUGCUUGUAGGGCGGGAGUUUGUGAGGCAAUAUUAUACUUUGCUGAAUAAAGCUCCGGAAUAUUUACACAGGUUUUAUGGCAGGAAUUCUUCCUAUGUUCAUGGUGGAGUAGAUGCUAGUGGAAAGCCCCAGGAAGCUGUUUAUGGCCAAAAUGAUAUACACCACAAAGUAUUAUCUCUGAACUUCAGUGAAUGUCAUACUAAAAUUCGUCAUGUGGAUGCUCAUGCAACCUUGAGUGAUGGAGUAGUUGUCCAGGUCAUGGGUUUGCUGUCUAACAGUGGACAACCAGAAAGAAAGUUUAUGCAAACCUUUGUUCUGGCUCCUGAAGGAUCUGUUCCAAAUAAAUUUUAUGUUCACAAUGAUAUGUUUCGUUAUGAAGAUGAAGUGUUUGGUGAUUCUGAGCCUGAACUUGAUGAAGAAUCAGAAGAUGAAGUAG